rnacentral:rRNA from 1 species
CAAGUCGAACGCAGUAGCAAUACUGAGUGGCAGACGGGUGAGUAACAUGUGGGAAUCUGCCUUGUGGUUCAGGACAACAUUGGGAAACCGAUGCUAAUACUGGAUAAGCCCUUACGGGGAAAGUUUUAAUGCCAUAAGAUGAGCCCGCAUUUGAUUAGUUAGUUGGUGAGGUAAUGGCUCACCAAGACAAUGAUCAAUAGCUGAUCUGAGAGGAUGAUCAGCCACACUGGGACUGAGACACGGCCCAGACCCCUACGGGAGGCAGCAGUGGGGAAUCUUGCACAAUGGAGGAAACUCUGAUGCAGCGAUGCCGCGUGAGUGAAGAAGGCCUUUGGGUUGUAAAGCUCUUUUGUAGGGGAAGAUAAUGACUGUACCCUAAGAAUAAGGUCCGGCUAACUUCGUGCCAGCAGCCGCGGUAAUACGAAGGGACCUAGCGUAGUUCGGAAUUACUGGGCGUAAAGCGCGCGUAGGCCGUUGAGUUAGUUAAUUGUGAAAUCCCAAAGCUUAACUUUGGAACUGCAAUUAAAACUGCUCGACUAGAGUUUGAUAGAGGAAAGCGGAAUACAUAGUGUAGAGGUGAAAUUCGUAGAUAUUAUGUAGAACACCAGUUGCGAAGGCGGCUUUCUGGAUCAACACUGACGCUGAGGCGCGAAAGUACGGGUAGCAAAGAGGAUUAGAUACCCUCGUAGUCCAUACCAUAAACGAUGAUUGCUAGAUGUUGGAAAUUUAUUUUCAGUAUCGCAGCUAACGCAUUAAGCAAUCCGCCUGGGGAGUACGACCGCAAGGUUAAAACUCAAAUGAAUUGACGG